AGUCUAGGCUUCACCUACAAUGAAAAACUUGCUUCCUGUUUUAUUACGUCAUAACGUGCCGCCGCUGAACGUGGGCGCUGGAGACUGGUCGGCCAUAUUACUUAAGGGCAGUCCGCACUGUUAUAGUACUGUUUUGGCUUCUUCUAUAUGACUACAGUCAGACUUUACGGACCACUCGUGUAUUAUAUUAGCAAUAAAUAGUAUUCUAAGGCCCAAUUCACACGGCGGAAUAUCUGUCGGAAAAAUCAGGUGCUAGUGCUAAGACUGCUUGUAAGUGCGCAAUUUGUAUAGGCGGCAAUGCAUUUCUAUGAGGUGUAAACAAGUAUAAGACGAAGAUGAACGAAGCACUCGCCAGACUGUUUCUUCAGAAAACAGCAAAGCGUGAGUUGGAAAUCUACAUUCAACCCUGUAGUAGAAGAAGAACAGCACAGCCAAUGGAAAAAAAAUUAUCGUAGGGGGGUGCACGCAGCUCCUGGAUCCUUGGUUAGGGGAUCAUCUUGCAAACAGAAGAAAAAAUCUUGUCCACAGCACCAAAGUUCAUGAAAAAAUGUGUGUUUUAUUCCAUAAAAGGUGUCAAUACAACAGCGACGUUUCAGUCAGCUCAACCUGACCUUUCUCAAGCAUUCAUACAUUCAACCCUGACUUUUUUUCUGCUCUCCCCUCAUGUUAACAAGAGAGAAAAUAAGGCAAGAUGUGGUGAAGUGAAAAGGUAAUUAACAGCAGUCACUUAAAAAUGUACUGAAACAUUCUCCCCGCCUUUUGCUUAUUUAUAGAUUACUAGUGGAGUUAAAUAACAAGCACAGAUAUGCCACCCAAAGCCAACGCUAGAAAAUCUUUUUUUUUU